CAUGUGGCUUGUGUACGGAUUCACGUACUUACCGUCGUUGCAAUCACGCAUCACCACGCGCCGUCCAUGGACCUCUCCGUAUGUCUCUAUAUCCAGACAUGAUAGCUCCGCAUUCGUCGUUUCCACUCAGUCGUUUGUUGUGUUUUCCCGUUGAACUGUCAAAUGUGUCAUCGAAGCAGACCGACCGGAAAGCCGUCUGCGUGCGUGUUUUUGUCGUCCCUGGGCUUCUGUUGGAAAGAAUCGGUUUAGUUGCUUCAUAGGAUCGUCUAGAGCAUUAGGACCGCGCAUACAUACAGUAGUAUACGGGCACUAGCUUGCGCAAGAUUUACUCUCAACUUCCGACGGGUCCUGGCUUUUGCAUAAGCGAAAAACGUACAUCAACGCGUAGCUAGCCGCAACAUAAAAAGAUCAAAAAGCUGAGCCGAAUAGUGGUAAAGUACUUCAAUAACCAAUCGCAUUUCCUAAAUCAGAACGUUCUGCCAUGUUAACGUGUUGACGACGCCGCAAACCAGUGCAUGUCGCAACUGCCGUAAUCGUUGAUUGCGCAAAAAAUUGAAACAUAACAGUCGUUUCAUCUAUGACGCCAUAGGAUAAAAGAAGACGACGGCCACAACGAAUACAUAGUUAUAGCAAUGACAUAGCCAAUAAGCUAUAUUAAGGAAAAUCGAAAAGGAAGAUUUGAAGGUAGAUUGAGAGAAGCUGUUAGUUGUUGGACACCCCAAUUUGAAGGACUGAAGUGAUGGUAGAUUUGAUCUACGUUCGCAAACUCCCCAACGUUGAGCGGCGGGUCCACAAAUCGAAAUAGCGCCAACAGCUGAUGUGUGACAAGAAAUGACAGGGAAUAUAUGUCACACUCUAUUGUACGCGUGUCGUUGUAUCAUUUGCAGUCGUGCAGAAUCAGAAAAGCGGCUGUCACGUAGCAGACAAGUGAACGCCGUCGGUAAAAGCUGCUGCUGUACGUUGUUUCUGUUGGACAUGAGGGCCAGCGAUGGCGGUGUGCGAAUCAUUGACGAGAUGCAGAUUCGAACCGGCAGGCGUGGGAACUGGAUGUCGCUACUUGAGAUGGUGCUAUUAUGGGACAUAGGGACCUUUGCUGAUGCUGCUGCUUGUUUUGACGUCACUCGGUUCGUGGUCAGGGCGACGAUCGUGAUGCAGUGUUUAAUUUUGUAAAGGAUGAAGCUGGCGAUGGCGGCGGCGACUUUAACAAGAAGCUAUAGCACUUCAUCGACGAUGGUGGGCAUGAUGAGAGAAUCAGCCAAUGAUGCAAUAAAAGACACCGCCCAAUAAGGAGAAAGAGAACAUAUAUUCAGCUGAGUAACGGGAUACUAACUAUAUAAAAAGAAAAAAAAAGCCGGUAUUAGUAUAAGAAGAACGGAGGAAAGCUCAAUAAACGCUACUUAAAAGAAGCUGAAGCAGGCGUCGGAUUGAGAACAUUAAAACUUCAAAACACGAUCUGAUGACAUGACUCCUUAAAGUCUCCCGGAUCGCCUGGAAGACCAGUCGCAAGAGCUGCCGUAGAGGAGCGUGAUUGGAAAACAGUUCAAAAGAAAUCUAUAUAGCCAAGCCAGUGACUACGACUAGCAAGAUCGUUGUGUUGGUUGAUUAUAACGGAUAGUAAAGACGAGGCCGAUUCAAUAAAGAAAUGGCAAGAUAAUGCCAAAUUUUUAUGCCUGCUCCAUGGCAUAAAUGGUUAUAGAAUUUUAGAGAGAUUUGAAAUUUGUUUUUCAAAAUGGGUCAGGUUUAACAUUCAAAAGCAUAUUUAUGUUGCAUGCUCUGUAUCGAUCUCUAAAAGCUAAAGCGACAAAAUCUAGUGUAGACGACUUGAUUGUAUGGAGCCGAUUUAGAGCUUGAGACAUUCAUCUUAGUAACACUGGCUGAAAAUUAUAGAUCUGAGUUGUGUAUUUGUUUUAAAUAAAAUGCCCAUGACUCAAAUUUAUAUUUGACAGAUCUUUAGCGGCAUGACCGGACUCAUCUGCUUAAGCCACCUCGAUAGGAAAUCCUAAUUUCUGGGCCUAACUUAAACCCGAAACUAAAUUAAAAGCUAAUAAAGAAAAAUAGCAUGAAAUACUAUACAUCCGCAUGUAAAAUAGCAUAUAAGUGUUGAUGUAAUAGAAAGCUAGUUAUAUUCGUUGUAAGAACUUUGCUAACCUAACAUUCAUAACGAUGGAGGAAUCGUUUAAUCAGGUCCGCGAUCAAAAUUAGGACUGAUACAAAUGCCUUAGAAAAAUUGACAGCCAGAAGACAACGAUCAUUUCGCAUCGCGCGUACGUUGACAACGAGUGCCACGUAUGGCUUUUGUUCUGUAAAAGCAAUAAACCGCGAAUGUACAAUAAAAAUCCCCUUAAGAAAAAUAAAUGCAGUUCAUAUUGCUGUUGUGAAUGUCUUCACCCACAAUCCGGAGCGCAUUGCUGAUUAAUGUACGUUAGAUUUGUUAUAGGCGGUCAACCUUGCCACGGGCCGCCAAAAGAGACGACAU
rnacentral:lncRNA from 1 species